GGAGAGUUGAGCAUUUGGCGGAGUCGCGAAGGGAUUGGCUUGAUUUCCAUCGGUUUACCUCCAUCAAUCAUACCAUACGAUAUCGUCGUCUGUGCAGUGACUGAGAGCCGCAACUAAUCCGUUGUCGUAGUGGAGAAAGUGGCACUCGUCACCUCGAGGAUGUUCCUCCACAAAUUCUUUGUCCUGCUCUCCGUUGCUCCUCACCACCGUCUUCAUGUUAGGCGCCAUGAGAAAGUUAUUCGGACGCACUUUGAGCGAACGAAUAAUGGGCGUGAUUUUCACGAGGGCCACUCCGCUUUGUUUUGGGACUGGCGUUUCGUUGAAGAGGAUCUUCGGGCACGAAACUUCGAUGGCGGCGGAUGUAGACGACCUCGUACUCGUCGACUUGCGACGAAUUGUCCACGCCAAAUGUCCGUCCCAACUCGUCGACAUUCAUCAACGUGUGCAAAGUGCGCAACAACUAAUACAGAAAAAGCUUGCAGCGGAGGUCCUCAUUAUAUCUAACUGUACUUUGUUACCUUCCGGACGAAAGAGGACCCUUCAAGAUUUGACACAACGCCCAAGAUCGAACAA
rnacentral:lncRNA from 1 species